rnacentral:rRNA from 1 species
UGACGUUAGCGGCGGACGGGUGAGUAACACGUGGGUAACCUACCUAUAAGACUGGAAUAACUCCGGGAAACCGGGGCUAAUGCCGGAUAACAUAUAGAACCGCAUGGUUCUAUAGUGAAAGAUGGUUUUGCUAUCACUUAUAGAUGGACCCGCGCCGUAUUAGCUAGUUGGUAAGGUAACGGCUUACCAAGGCGACGAUACGUAGCCGACCUGAGAGGGUGAUCGGCCACACUGGAACUGAGACACGGUCCAGACUCCUACGGGAGGCAGCAGUAGGGAAUCUUCCGCAAUGGGCGAAAGCCUGACGGAGCAACGCCGCGUGAGUGAUGAAGGGUUUCGGCUCGUAAAACUCUGUUAUUAGGGAAGAACAUAUGUGUAAGUAACUGUGCACAUCUUGACGGUACCUAAUCAGAAAGCCACGGCUAACUACGUGCCAGCAGCCGCGGUAAUACGUAGGUGGCAAGCGUUAUCCGGAAUUAUUGGGCGUAAAGCGCGCGUAGGCGGUUUCUUAAGUCUGAUGUGAAAGCCCACGGCUCAACCGUGGAGGGUCAUUGGAAACUGGGAAACUUGAGUGCAGAAGAGGAAAGUGGAAUUCCAUGUGUAGCGGUGAAAUGCGCAGAGAUAUGGAGGAACACCAGUGGCGAAGGCGACUUUCUGGUCUGUAACUGACGCUGAUGUGCGAAAGCGUGGGGAUCAAACAGGAUUAGAUACCCUGGUAGUCCACGCCGUAAACGAUGAGUGCUAAGUGUUAGGGGGUUUCCGCCCCUUAGUGCUGCAGCUAACGCAUUAAGCACUCCGCCUGGGGAGUACGACCGCAAGGUUGAAACUCAAAGGAAUUGACGGGGACCCGCACAAGCGGUGGAGCAUGUGGUUUAAUUCGAAGCAACGCGAAGAACCUUACCAAAUCUUGACAUCCUUUGACCACUCUAGAGAUAGAGCUUUCCCCUUCGGGGGACAAAGUGACAGGUGGUGCAUGGUUGUCGUCAGCUCGUGUCGUGAGAUGUUGGGUUAAGUCCCGCAACGAGCGCAACCCUUAAGCUUAGUUGCCAUCAUUAAGUUGGGCACUCUAGGUUGACUGCCGGUGACAAACCGGAGGAAGGGGGGGAUGACGUCAAAUCAUCAUGCCCCUUAUGAUUUGGGCUACCCACGUGCUACAAUG